ACUUAAUAUGAGACCUUCACAUCUAACCCUCUGAAAGGUCAGACGUAUUAUGAGACCUUCACAGCUAACCCUCUGAAAGGUCAGACUUAUUAUGAGUUCUU